GAAAUGCGAUAAGUAAUGUGAAUUGCAGAAUUCAGUGAAUCAUCGAAUCUUUGAACGCACAUUGCGCCCCCUGGUAUUCCGGGGGGCAUGCCUGUUCGAGCGUCAUUUCACCACUCAAGCCUCGCUUGGUAUUGGGCAACGCGGUCCGCCGCGUGCCUCAAAUCGACCGGCUGGGUCUUCUGUCCCCUAAGCGUUGUGGAAACUAUUCGCUAAAGGGUGUUCGGGAGGCUACGCCGUAAAACAACCCCAUUUCUAAGGUUGACCUCGGAUCAGGUAGGGAUACCCGCUGAACUUAA
rnacentral:misc_RNA from 1 species